rnacentral:tRNA from 3 species
GCAGGUUUGCCCGAGAGGUUAAGGGGGUAGACUUAAGAUCUACUGUACAUAAGUACGCGUGGGUUCGAACCCCACAGCCUGCA